rnacentral:rRNA from 1 species
CUUCGCUCUCCUUUCUUCUAUCUUAUCCUCUUCAUCGCACCGACGGCUGCCCCUCCCCUCCUGUCGGCUCUCUCGGCGUCUCCCUCCCCUGCCCUGGCUCUGGCUCCCCCCUCUACCUCCGGCCCUCUCAGUCUCUUCUCCGCCUCCGGCCUCCCCGGCCCCCCUGUAGGCGCCUAGGCGCCUAGCGCCCUCCAUGGCUGAUGCCGGCGCCUCCACUCUCCGUUCCUCUUCGUUGUGCACGGCAGCAGGAGGGGCCCUAAUGGGAGCACGCUUCUGCCCCCCGUCACAGCGCUCCCCCUCACCGACUGCGUCGAGAGUACACCUGACGGUCUCAGUGUCCACCUCAAACGCCCUGAUCAACCACAUGGACACCCUGAUCCACAAGGCCAUCCCGGUGCCCACGCCUGACGGCAGGGCGAUGGUGGCCAUCAUCUACUUCCAGCCGCACCGCCAACAGUGGGCCACGGAUCGACCCGGCAAGAGCACCUGGAAAUCUGUGAGGCUGAGCAACAUCCUGGCCGUGGUGGACCUGGCGCUCCACCACGGGCAGCUUUACGCCAACACCAGCUUCGGGAUUGUGUACGUCUUCCUGGAGCUGCACGGGCUGGGCUCCGCGUCUCCGAAAUCAUCUUGUCCGUGACGCGGAGGCCAACCUCGCGCAUGGAGAGCAACUUCCUCGUGCAGACCCCCGGCGGUGGGGCGCUGAUCCAAUUGGAGCUCGUCAAGGCGGCCGGGGGUGAGGAGUUAAUGGUUCGCGUGCUGGACGAGUGCGGUGGGACGUGGGAGGAGGAGGACGACAUCGGCAAUGUUGUGGUGCCCAUGGAUGCGUCCGGCACGGUGGCUGUGUCCACGAAGGAGUGCCCCGGGCUGAGGCCCAGCACCGUCUAUUAUAGGGACCUCAACAGCGGUGAGACGUGGGUUCGAGCGUACAGCCUCGCGGGCAAGCACAAGAAUGUCGAGGUCGUUGAGUCCCUCUCCAGGGCGGAGGGAAACAAGUGGUCGUGAUUCUGGUUCACGCUGCUCUAUUCAUAGUGACAGUGAGUCCUGAUCAUGAUCAACGUCCGUUUUUAGCCUGACCGUCUGAUCGUGAUGCAAUGUCUGCGAGUUGUGCAAUGUUCAUCGAGAGUCUGUAGUAUCUCUUUACACACAGCUUAUUCACCUGAACCUUCUCCAGUUAAGCGGCACUCCAGAUUUGACAAAGAUGCUCUUAAAAAUAUAGAUAUGAUUAACAUGUUAGUCUUGUUCAGUUUGAUUCAUACUGCUUCUAUAUGAUCACCUGUAGGAAAAACUGUCUAUGCCAAUGGUGGGCUCUAUGCCGAGUGUUAUUUCACAAUAACAAUGUGGACUUUCUUCUUUACCAUUUGUACAACCCUUUUUUGUAUGAUUACUUUUUGCAUAGUAAGCUCUUCCAUGAUUACUAAUAGUCUGAACGUUGUUUUAUUCUGCAGGUUGUUUGCAUACUUAAAUAGAGAGUCAUACACACACAAACUUGCUUAGUUUGGUCUCUUUACAUAUAUCACUGUUAUUUCCUUCCACAAACACUUUUUAGAUUCAUUUUGACACACUUCUGAGUGUUUUCACACAUAAUGACUGCGGUUCGUGCAACAUGUAACCAUUCCAGUUAAUGUUAAUUGAGAAUUAUUGUUUCGCAUCACACUAGCAAGAUAGGAACACAAAAGACAAGAUUAGUAUGGCAAUACUUUUUUAUUAUGUGCGACGGCACCCAUUUUUAAUUUUUGUCACAGACACAUCAAUCUGCAUAUAGGAUGUGGCGUUUGACCCUGAUAACAUCAAGAAAUUGUCAAUGGACUGCACUCAAGCCAGAGAAUUGGCCUUUGCAGAGGCAAACAAACCUGUUGAUGAUGUGGAAAGAUGUCAAGCACAUUCUUCAGAAUGAUAAACUGUUGGGUGACAGAGUGGAGAAAAUCGUCAAAGAGUGUGAUGCCUACACGAGUUCUACAAGAAAGUAGAUGUAUCUCCCCAUAAGGAAAUGGUAGUGGUUGAUAUCGACAAAUAAUGAGAAUUCCAUGAUGAAAAAGAUGUAGUGACAUGUUGGAACUGCUAAAGUGAGGAGUGUCCAGUAGGUCCCUAAAUGAUCCUAAUAACCUCCUCCACUCAUGUUAAUCUUUUGAUGAGAUGGAAUUGGCAUUUGGUUGAUGGAUCCUUAAAGCACUUUUUUUGUUGCAAAUCACCAUGUAGUUUACCAAUAUUUCAUAGUUCUUUUAUUGCAGAACAUGGAAAACCCUAUGAUAUAAGCCUUUCGUAGCAAUGCAUCGGUAUUUAGCUCACAAAGAAGUGGCAAAAAGGCUGGAGUGGUGGAGGCAAGAAAAUUAUUUUGAGUAGCCAACAAAGAAAAAAGCUCUUUGUGAAAUCAGAACAAAGUCAAAAAUAGAGUGCUUCAUUUCCUACAAUUGUUUCUUGUGUUAUUACUUUCAUAGUGAGUGCAAGUUUGCAAUCACAUAUAUGCAGAGGUCGGCUGCUAAUGGGUUCUAGGUUGCCGGGAGUGAGGAAAUUAUAUUAGCCAAGGAGUGAGACCUCUGUUUUGUGGUGCAGCAGCAUUGUCUAUUACAAUGUAGAUUCUAUUAUUUUUCCUUCUCUUUUUUAUAAUUGUAACUGAAGGAAUUUUUGCUAAAAUAAAUUGGGUGCAUUACAAGCUUAUGUUGAGUGUGUUAAUUCCUAUCAUUUUGUUGUCAUGGAGACCUGAAAAAUGACAUUUUUCUUCCAUUUCCCUGUUCUUCAUUUCCAGAUCUAAACCAUGUCGUUGCUUAUCAAUUCUCACAUCCAUUUUAUCAGCUCACAAGGAUGUGCAUCCCUUCUUACAUGAGGAACCAGAUAACAAGAAUGGGUAGAGCAGGCUUCCAACCUCCUCCAAGGAAGACGAUUAUGGUGCGUGACCUCAAGCAAUUGUUAGUUUAGAUUGGUAACAAUAAUUGAAAAUCCUAUAUAUUGCUUUUGUUUUGCAAUUAGCGGUACUAAAGAUUGCUCUAGGCACAAGAAUAGUGGAAGGUUACCGGUUCUUAGGAAAUGUAGUUCUUUUUGUUUCCAGCAUGUUAGAAGUUGCAUGUGUAGAACUAAUGAAGUCGAUAAUCCAAUUAUGUGCCAGUACCUUCAGGUGCUGGUUUAUUUGUCUUGGUGUCAUUGCUCUUUAUGUCACUGGAAAAAAAUAGCGCGCUAUAGCGCCGCUAAUAGCACGCUAUAGUGUGUAGAGAAUUGCCUCGCUAAAUUAAUUUAUGCACAAUGUCUCGCUGAUAGCACGUUGUAGCGCGCUAUAGCACACUAAUAGCAUAUUUUCAG